GGCAAGUUCUGGUGCCAGCAGCCGCGGUAAUUCCAGCUCCAGUAGCGUAUAUUAAAGUUGCUGCAGUUAAAAAGCUCGUAGUUGAAUUUCUGUUUGUAAGAGUCGAAGCUUUACAGCUAAGAUUUCUUCGAACAUCUGUUUGCAAGCAUACGUUCGGCCUUCACUGGUUGGCUAUGUAAGCAAGCGUUUUACCUUGAGAAAAUUAGAGUGUUCCAGGCAGGCUUCAGCCGGAAUACAUUAGCAUGGAAUAAUGGAAUAGGACUGGGGACUAUUUAUUGGUUUGAGGCUCCAGUAAUGAUUAAUAGGAACAGUCGGGGGCAUUGGUACUUAACAGUCAGAGGUGAAAUUCUUGGAUUUGUUAAAGACUAACUAAUGCGAAAGCAUUUGCCAAGCAUGUUUUCAUUAAUCAAGAACGAAAGUUAGGGGAUCAAAGACGAUUAGAUACCGUCCUAGUCUUAACUGUAAACGAUUCCAUCUUAGAAUUGGGUGAAUAUUUGAUGAUUCAUCCAGCGCUAUAAGAG
rnacentral:rRNA from 1 species